rnacentral:rRNA from 1 species
AUUGAACGCUGGCGGCAUGCCUUACACAUGCAAGUCGAACGGUAGCGGGCCUUCGGGUGCCGACGAGUGGCGAACGGGUGAGUAAUGUAUCGGAACGUACCUUUCAGUGGGGGAUAACGUAGCGAAAGUUACGCUAAUACCGCAUAUUCUGUGAGCAGGAAAGCAGGGGAUCGCAAGACCUUGCGCUGAUUGAGCGGCCGAUAUCAGAUUAGCUAGUUGGUGAGGUAAAGGCUCACCAAGGCGACGAUCUGUAGCGGGUCUGAGAGGAUGAUCCGCCACACUGGAACUGAGACACGGUCCUGACUCCUACGGGAGGCAGCAGUGGGGAAUUUUGGACAAUGGGGGUAACCCUGAUCCAGCCAUGCCGCGUGAGUGAAGAAGGCCUUCGGGUUGUAAAGCUCUUUCGGCCGGGAAGAAAUCGUAUGGGUUAAUACCCUGUGCGGAUGACGGUACCGGCAUAAGAAGCACCGGCUAACUACGUGCCAGCCGCCGCCGUAAGAC